rnacentral:rRNA from 1 species
UUUGGCCCAGAUCGUUUACCGUGAAAAAAUUAGAGUGUUCAAAGCAGGCAGAUCCAAUUUUCUGCCACCGAAUACAUUAGCAUGGGAUAAUGGAAUAGGACCCUGUCCUCCUAUUUUCAGUUGGUUUUGGCAGCGCGAGGACUAGGGUAAUGAUUAAUAGGGAUAGUUGGGGGCAUUAAUAUUUAAUUGUCAGAGGUGAAAUUCUUGGAUUUAUGAAAGAUUAACUUCUGCGAAAGCAUCUGCCAAGGAUGUUUUCAUUAAUCAAGAACGAAAGUUAGGGGAUCGAAGACGAUCAGAUACCGUCGUAGUCUUAACCAUAAACGAUGCCGACCAGCGAUUAGGAGACGUUGAAUACAAAACACCACCAUCGGUGCGGUCGUCCUUGGCGUCGGUCUUUCGGGGCCGGCGCGGGGACGGCUUACCCCGGUGGCACCGGUGAAUGACUCCCCUAACAGCUUGUGAGACA